ACUAUGUAAGACCUUACUCAAGAGACUCGUUUGUAAGAACUAUAGAAAAUAUGUGUACGGUCUCUUUGUCUGCUACUUCCAUGCACGUACUAGACUCACUCCCAUCUUCUUCUUCAUCUUCUCUAUUUUCUCUGCCAUUAUUAUCCCUCACCAAACCCCAUUUUCACACUGCCACCACAAAACCCAGAACCCAUUUCUCACUCUUGGUUACAUCGUCAGCUUCUUCUCCUUCUUCAGCUCCAAAAACCAAAGAUGUAUGGAGAAAAACUCCCCUCAAAUCGACGCAGUUUCACAAACACCCCAAGAAGCAAAACCCACUCUUCUUAGACCACAGCUUGGACAUGGACGAACUCGUACAAUCAAUAAGCCAAACCCAGAACGAACAAGAACUAUUCGCUUUAUUAUCCCCGUAUAAAGACAGACAACUCUCAAUUCGUUUCAUGGUCUCGUUGUUAUCUCGCGAACAAGACUACCAGAGAUCAGUCGCCAUCCUUGAUUGGAUCAAUGACGUGGCUCGUUAUUCUCCGUCCGUGUUUGCUUACAAUGUCGUUUUGAGAAAUGUCUUGAGGGCUAAAAAAUGGGAGCUUGCACAUGGCCUGUUCGACGAAAUGCGUGACAGAGGUGUGUCGCCUGAUAGGUACACGUAUUCGACACUAAUAACGUGUUUUGGGAAAGAGGGUAUGUUUGAUUCAGCGAUUUCUUGGUUGCAAUUGAUGGAACAAGACCGGGUUUCAGGUGAUCUUGUUUUGUAUAGUAACUUGAUUGAGCUUGCAAGGAAGUUGUGUGAUUAUUCGAAGGCGAUUUCGAUGUUUUCGAGGUUGAAGAAUGCAGGGAUUGUGCCUGAUCUUGUUGCGUAUAAUACGAUGAUCAAUGUGUUUGGGAAGGCGAAGUUGUUUAGAGAGGCGAGGUUGGUGAUUAAGGAGAUGAGGGAAGUGGGAGUUGUGCCGGAUACUGUUAGUUAUUCGACACUUUUGAAUGUUUAUGUUGAGAAUGAGAAAUUUGUUGAGGCACUUUCAUUGUUUGCUGAGAUGAAGGAAGUGGAUUGCCCGCUUGAUCUUACGAGUUGUAAUAUUAUGAUUGAUGUUUAUGGGCAGUUGGAUAUGGCUAAGGAAGCGGACAGGUUGUUUUGGAGCAUGAGGAAGAUGGGGAUUGAACCUAAUGUUGUUAGUUACAAUACCCUUUUGAGGGUUUAUGGUGAGGCUGAGCUUUUUGGUGAGGCUAUUCAUUUGUUUAGGUUGAUGCAAAGGAAGGAAAUUGAGCAGAAUGUUGUCACAUAUAACACAAUGAUGAAGAUUUAUGGGAAGUCUCUUGAGCAUGAAAAGGCUACUAAUCUUUUGAAAGAGAUGCAGAAUAGUGGGAUUGAACCGAAUGCCAUCACUUACUCAACAAUAAUAUCUAUAUGGGGUAAGGCAGGGAAAUUAGAUAGGGCAGCAAUCUUGUUUCAGAAGUUGAGGAGCUCUGGGAUUGAGAUUGAUCAAGUGCUUUAUCAAACAAUGAUUGUUGCUUAUGAAAGGGUAGGUUUGGUUGCUCAUGCAAAGCGUUUGCUUCAUGAGCUCAAGCAACCAGAUAACAUCCCUAGGGAGACUGCAAUAUCAAUUCUUGCUAAGGCUGGUCGGAUUGAGGAGGCUACAUGGAUUUUUAGACAGGCUUUUGAGGCUGGGGAAGUAAAGGAUAUAUCAGUAUAUGGGUCCAUGAUUGAGCUUUUCUCAAGGAACAAGAAACAUGCAAAUGUCAUUGAAGUGUUUCAAAAGAUGAGAAGUGCAGGAUAUUUCCCCAAUUCUAAUGUGAUUGCUCUUGUGCUGAAUGCUUAUGGAAAACUCCGGGAAUUUGAGAUGGCGGAUGCUCUGUAUCAAGAGAUGCAAGAAGAAGGUUGUGUUUUUUCUGAUGAAGUUCAUUUCCAGAUGCUCGGUCUGUAUGGUGCAAGAAAGGACUUUAACAUGAUGGAGUCACUCUUUGAGAAGCUGGACUCUGAUUCCAACAUCAACAAAAAGGAGUUGCAUCUUGUCGUUGCUGCCAUAUACGAACGAGCAAAUAGACUAGACGAGGCAUCACAAAUUAUGAAUAGGAUGAAAGAAAGAGGAACUUCAAAGUCAUGACCUUCAAGAAAAUCUAAUCCUCCUGUAUCCUAUAAUUUUUCCCCACAUCUACUGAAUCAAGAUAUAUUAUCAUGCAAUUAAGGAAAAAGCAAUGGCACAAGACUUUCAGUGUUGCUUCCUGAUACAAUUGCAGGAAGGCAAUUCAUUUUCUCAAGCAAAACUAUGGAGUAGUGAAUGAAAU